UUGCUUUCAAAGCACAUGUGCUAAAUUUGGAAUCAUAUAGAGAGAUUAUUACGGUCCCUGAGCAAGGAUGACACUCAAGUUGGUGAAGCAUUUCAUAAUUUU